GUUCAAGGCCUUCCAUGGUUCCGUAGUGAGUUUGAGCCUAGCUUGGCUUAUAGAAGGCUCUGUCUUCAAAUAAAAAUAAUUAAAAGGGUCAGGGAUGUAUCUAGAUGGUAAGUGCUUGUUUAGUACUUGUUAAAUGGCCCUGGGUUCCAUAGUCAGCACAUUAGGAAAGUACAAAGAGUGUCUACAUACUCUUUAUCUUCCCUCCCAUCUUGCUCCCUACCAUCACACAGAAUUACAACACUUGUUAUAAAAGAUGAGCUGGAAUCGGCACAUUAUUAACUGAAGUCCGAAGUUUACAUCAAGGUUUGUCUUUGGUAAGAGCUCUGUUUGAAUGAGUAUACUGUGACACGCACGAAACACUAUAGUAUCAACUAUCUUUCUAAAAAUCCUGUGCUCCACAAUUGGCCCCUCCUUCCCCUCCCUUGAAUUCCCAGAAACCACCAAUCUGUCUACUGUCCCCAUAGUUUUUUUCCCAGUAUCUUGUAAUUAAAUGGUAUUUAACCUUCCUGGUUACCUUACUCCCUUUCACCACACCUUAGUACCUAUUGCUAGCACAAAAAAUCAUGACCAACGCAACUUACAAAAGAAAGCAUCUAGCCUGAGACCUACAGAUCCAGACAGUUGGAGCUCAUGAGCAUCAUGGUGGGGAGCAAGCAGGCAGGCAUGGCACUGGGGCAGUAGCUGAGAGCUUUACAUCUAGAUCCAUAAGUGCAAGGUAGAGAGAGCUAGCUGAGAAAGACAUGUGCUCUUGAAAGAUCAAAGCCCACCUCCCAUGGACACACCUCCUCCAGCAAUGCCACACCUCCUACUCAUUCCCAAAUAGUUCCACCCACUGGUGGCCAAGUGUUCACAAUAUAUGAGUAUGGGACCCAUUCUCAUUCUGCUACAUCUACUCCAGUAGUGACAAGCACAACAGGCCCCAAAAACCUGGGCGCUGUCCCGAGGCAAAAAGUUCAUGGAAACUUAGUCUCCUGGAAUUGUGGCAUCCUGUAUAAAGAAUGCUCCAAUGUCCUUGCUUUAGUUGGUAAAUGAAUCUGUGUGCUUUCCCUUAAUAUUGCUUUAUUACAAGUGCUAAUAAGGAUUGAUAUUUUGACAUAUAGCUAAGUUAGAUUCUAGGCAGUCCUUGAUCUGACCUUGGGCAUGUAUAGCUAAGUCACUGCUCUACACAGAAAUUUACCAUUAUCUAGGAAGAAGGAAGUUUGUGACCUAAAGAGGAACCAGAGUAGAUACUUAGAACUAUAGAUAGCUGAGUUCUACCCAUACACAGGAAUUUACAAUGGCCUAGGGGAAAGGUGGACUAUACAAUAGAUUGGAGUAGGAACUAUCUUCGUGCCUUCCUGGCUUCUAAGAUUAAGUGGAUCUUAGAUGGAGCUGUUUUUGAUCCCAGUUGUUAACAUUCAAUUUUAUCUCAGUUGGUUCCUGCCAAUCCUUCUGUGUUUGCAUUCCUCUGUUUUGUGUAAGCAUCCAGUAACCUCUUUGUACCUUGCUGAUGUGUCACCCAACUUCCCUAUUUUCUUCUGUAUAAAAAGUUUGAUGCUCAAUUUGACAAAUUACAUUCAGAUCCACACUCCCUCGUGUCCAGUCUGUCUGUCAAUUCCUGCCGAGUCCUUGUCCACCUGCAACCAGAGACCCAUUCCACACAGACAGGGACCAAAGAGGGUCUGCGGCAGUGUCCACCUUUAAUCCCAGCAGAGGCAGAUAGCAGGUGGUUUUCCGUGGGUUUGUGGCCACCCUGGUCUACAUAGCAAGUUUCAUUUAGGCUAGCCAGGGCUACAUGUUGAGAUUCUGUUCAGG
rnacentral:lncRNA from 1 species